AUGGCCGGUGAGGAAGAGGUGCAGGUGGUAGAGUCCUGCUUCGUAACGCCGGCUGCGGACACGCCGAGGAAAACACUAUGGCUCUCGGCACUCGACCUCAUGCUAGCCAACAAAGGCUACACCCCGCUUGUUCAUUUCUACCGUCGAUGUCCCGGCACCGAAACCACCGACUUCUUCAACGGGACCAAGUUGAAGACAGCGCUAGGCAUGGCCCUUGUGGGCUUCUACCAUGGCCAGCCACCUCAGGGUGGACGCCGACGGCAGGUUAGAGAUCGGUUGCAACAGCAAGGGCAUGCUUUCCUCCUGGCUCGUUCCCAACUCACCAUCGACGACUUUAGCAAUUUGAAGCCAUCACCAAGGCUGAGGAGGUUGUUUGUUCCCCAAAUACUCCCAGCUGAGGUGUGUGCCACCCAGGUGACAUUUUUCAAGUGCGGUGGGGUGGCCUUUGGGACGGCAGUGCACCAUGGCACCAUGGAUGGCAUUUCCGCGUUCCACUUCUUCCAGACAUGGUCAACUUUCUCGAGGGAUGGCGACCGGGCAGUGAUCAACCUAUCCCAACCCUCGGGGCCAGUGAUCAAUGAGGUUUUCACCCUUCGCAAGGAUCAACUUUCCACCCUCAAGCGCAUCUGCGGUGCCUCCGGUGUUAGCACCUUCAGUGCCAUGAGCGCCCACUUGUGGCAGUGCAUUGUUGCUGAUGAAGCGUGUGGCAUCGCCUCGGGCGACCUGGCCUACAUUGCGCACCGGAUCAAGGACACCCUCGGCCAGGUGGACGACGAGCUGGUACGUUCAGCGGUCGACUACCUCGAGCUCGACCAAGCAAAGAGGGACAACAGCCCUGCCAUAGGCAAUCUACUGGCGACGGACAUGAGAGUGGUUAGCUGGCUCGGCAUGCCGCUGUACGACGUGGAUUUCAGCUGGGGAAAGCCGUUGGCUAUGCUGCGCGCCCAAUCAAACCGUGGAGGCUUCGCACACCUGAUUGACCGCGCGCACAUCGUCAUGUGUAUAGACGCUACUAUCCACAAGGAGUUCAAGCGUUUGCUGUAUGCCAAGUUUGAGAGCAUGGUGUAUUCCAAGUUCUAG
rnacentral:rRNA from 1 species